ACAUGGCUGGCUCAGUUGGUGGAGCAUGAUCCUCUUGAUCUCAGAGUUGUAAGUUAGAGCCCUACGUUGUGUA
rnacentral:tRNA from 1 species